GCUAGCGAUGGAAAUGAAGUCCCCAAGAAGAAGCGAUAAGCAGUGGCGGCUGUGUUGUUGUACUGAUGUCUGAUGAUAUGGGAGAGCAUGGAGAGGGAGUUAGGGUUUUCGGAAGGUUGUGGCAUGGGCGAGUGGGGAAGACAAAAAAAGGUUGUUGUAGAGGAAAUCAAGUUUGUUUGUCUGUCUUCCCUACUCCGCCCAUGCCAUAGGUUUCCGAUUGUCCCUCCCUCUCCUCACCUUCUCCAUACCUGAUCUACGUGAUUCGCCUGUAUGUUUUAUUUAUAUGCUUCUGCAUGUGUACGUAUCUGUAUAUAUAUGACUUUUGUGUAGCUAUGCAGGCAGCAGGUGUGUAUAUAUAGACAUGCUGAUUUCACUUUCGAUAUAUAUGUCUAUAUAUGUGUGUGUCUAUAUAUAGUAUAUAUCUAUAUAUAUAUAUAUAUAUAUGCCGAUAUCACUCGUGACUGAUCAUCAUGGAACUGUAGUACUGACAUAUAUAUUUCUAUAUAUGUGUGUGUUUAUAUAUAGAUAUAUAUGUAUAUUUUUAUGCAUAUGUGGAUAAUAUCUCACAUGGUAAAAAGUUGGAAAAGGAUUGCUUCUAUAUCCUUAUAUACAGGGAUUUUAGAUCUUAAUUUAUUCUCUGCGUGGAAUUUGUUAAACAUGAUCGAAAGUUCAUGAUUAUUUUGUUAUUAAAAAGUUGGCAAAUUUAAGAUUUAAUUUGGGUGAAGCACAAAUUAUCUCUCAAUAUUGGAGAUAAAGGUCAAAUUUUAUCUUAUGUAAUUUGGAAGGAUUGAUGUCCCAUGCUAUUACAGAUAUAAAUUUAGUCAUAUAAGCUUCCUUUUGGUGGUAAUUGUUGUUAUCUAGCAGGAAUUUGAAUAUGGUUGAAGGAUAUUGUGAAGAUUAUGCUCGUUUGUGCUCCUUGUAUUUUGGGUUUGGGUAAGGUUGAAGGGUUUCGAAAUGAUCAUGCCAUGCCUGUGGCCUUUGUUUUAGUGUUAAUACUGCUUUAUCUAGAGGAUCAUGUCUUUUUUUUUUUUUAAUUAAUUUCUUAUUAUAUAUUUAUAUUUUCUACACUUAUUAUUGCUAUGGGUAUGUUGUUGGGAGUCCCAUCCUUUUUUUUUUAAGUCUUCUACUCUCUCUUUUAUUUGGAUUAAAAGUGAAAAAAUCCUCCUUAGUAAUUUUUCUCCUUCAAUUAGAAAAAAAAAGCAUUUGAAAAAAGGGCAAUUUUUUUUUUUUGGACAAAUUUCCUUAAAUUCUAGUUUGAAAAAGUAUUAUGUGAGAGAGAUGAGAGUUGAGAGAGAGUGGGAGAGACGCUAUGGGGCGAUAGUGAAAGUUCACCAAAUCCAAAAAGCAAUAUUGACGCUUCGUUAUGCUCCAUUAGCAGCAAUCAGAAAAAAAAAAUCUCAACCCUACACUUCAAUAGCUUUUCUUAACAACCAUUAGAUCAGUAGUCCAACGUUGGGAAUUCCUGAGAUGCAACUAAACUAAUUCAAAAAGUAUAUAACAUGUACUUAUAAUGUAUUAAAACUCUAAACAAUGUACGUCUAUUAUACUAAUAGCCUAUUAUAUAUAUAUAUAUAUAUGAGCAAGCCGAAUCGAGCUUUCAUGAGCUUUGUUUACGAGUUUAAUUCGAGCCGAGCCGAGCUUUGAUCGACAUGUUCAAUUUGUUUGUAUAUUUAUCCGUUUGUUUGACAGUCUUAACUAGGCUGAUCCGCUGAUUGGCUCCAUGUUGUUAUCUCAUGAGUAAUGCAAGCCAAGGGGUUGCUGUUGCAGCAUAUACACAGCUGCAGUUCUUACUGAUUCCUAUGGAAAUAUCAUUGCUGCCGUGUCAAAGAAGCAUGCUUUGGUGGAUGUAAAUGCUGGUGAAGCACAUGUUGCCACCCCGACAGUCGGUCACUUUCAUCAUCCUUCAAGGACCUUCUCUCGCUAUUAUCUUGGCCAUCAACAAUGUUAAUUCCUUUUCUGAUUGGAAUUUUGCUCCAAAUCAUUGGAGUUAUUCUUCAGCAACUCUAAUGUUACCGCCACAUUUAGAGUCCACUACAAAAAUCGCUUAAAGUGC
rnacentral:precursor_RNA from 1 species